rnacentral:rRNA from 1 species
GACGAACGCUGGCGGCAUGCUUAACACAUGCAAGUCGAACGGGACGGUCCUGCUUUUGUGGGGUGCUCGAGUGGCGAACGGGUGAGUAACACGUGAGUAACCUGUCCUUGACUUUGGGAUAACUUCAGGAAACUGGGGCUCAUACCGGAUAGGAGCUCCUGCUGCAGGGUGGGGGUUGGAAAGUUUCGGCGGUUGGUGAUGGACUCGCGGCUUAUCAGCUUGUUGGUGGGGUAGUGGCUUACCAAGGCUUUGAAGGGUGGCCGGCCUGAGCGGAUGACCGGCCAAACCGGGAUGGAGAUACGGCCCAGCCUCGUCCGCUACGCAGCGCUGGGGAAUAGUGUACUAUGGGCGGAACCCAGAUGCAGCAACGCCGUGCCGGGUAUGUGGUGCUUGGGUUUGUAUUGUGCUUCUGUCUGUGCCGAAACGUGAGUGACGGUACUGGGUAAAGAAGCACCGGCUAACUACGUG